UACGUAGGGUGCAAGCGUUGUCCGGAAUUAUUGGGCGUAAAGAGCUCGUAGGCGGUCUGUCACGUCGGAUGUGAAAACCCGGGGCUCAACCCCGGGCCUGCAUUCGAUACGGGCAGACUAGAGUUCGGUAGGGGAGACUGGAAUUCCUGGUGUAGCGGUGAAAUGCGCAGAUAUCAGGAGGAACACCGAUGGCGAAGGCACUUUACUGGGCUAUUACUAACACUCAGAGACGAAAGCUAGGGUAGCAAAUGGG
rnacentral:rRNA from 1 species